UCAUCGCAUCCUGGGGGUGUAGAAGCUCCCAAGGGUUAGGCUGUUCGCCUAUUAAAGCGGUACGUGAACUGGGUUCAGAACGUCGCGAGACAGUUCGGUCCCUAUCUGUGGUGGGCGGAGGAGAUUUGAGGGGGCUUGCCCUUAGUACGAGAGGACCGGGGUGAACAGACCUCUUGUGAUUCAGUUGUCAUAUCAAAUUGGCACAGCUGAGUAGCGAAGUCUGGUCAGGAUAAGUGCUGAAUGCAUAUAAGUACGAAACCUUCCCCAAGAUGAGAUCUCCCUGAAGAGCCGUGAAAGACGAUCACGUUGAUAGGACGGAUGUGUAAGCACAGUAAUGUGUUGAGCUUACCGUUACUAAUAGCUCGUUCGGCUUGACCAU
rnacentral:rRNA from 1 species